GAUGAACGCUAGCGGCAGGCCUAAUACAUGCAAGUCGGACGGGAUAGAGGAGCUUGCUUCUCUUGAGAGUGGCGCACGGGUGCGUAACACGUAUGUAACCUACCUUAGUCAGGGGGAUAGCCUCUCGAAAGAGAGAUUAAGACCGCAUAACAUCAUUUUGUGGCAUCGCAGGAUGAUCAAAUAUUUAUAGGACUAAGAUGGGCAUGCGCAGCAUUAGCUAGUUGGUGUGGUAACGGCAUACCAAGGCUACGAUGUUUAGGGGAUCUGAGAGGAUGACCCCCCCACACUGGUACUGAGACACGGACCAGACUCCUACGGGAGCAGCAGUAGGGAAUAUUGGUCAAUGGACGGAAGUCUGAACCAGCCAUGCCGCGUGCAGGAAGACGG
rnacentral:rRNA from 1 species